rnacentral:rRNA from 1 species
AAUGUACGCGGACGGGUGAGUAACACGAACCUGCCUGUAAGACUGGGAUAACUCCGGGAAACCGGGGCUAAUACCGGAUGGUUGUUUGAACCGCAUGGAACAUAAAAGGUGGCUUCGGCUACCACUUACAGAUGGACCCGCGGCGCAUCUAGUUGGUGAGGUAAUGGCUCACCAAGGCAACGAUGCGUAGCCGACCUGAGAGGGUGAUCGGCCACACUGGGACUGAGACACGGCCCAGACUCCUACGGGAGGCAGCAGGGAAUCUUCCGCGACGAAAGUCUGACGGAGUUGAUCAUGCAACGCCGCGUGAGUGAUGAAGGUUUUCGGAUCGUAAAGCUCUGUUGUUAGGGAAGAACAAGUACCGUUCGAAUAGGGCGGUACCUUGACGGUACCUAACCAGAAAGCCACGGCUAACUACGUGCCAGCAGCCGCGGUAAUACGUAGGUGGCAAGCGUUGUCCGGAAUUAUUGGGCGUAAAGGGCUCGCAGGCGGUUAAGUCUGAUGUGAAAGCCCCCGGCUCAACCGGUUUGUACGGAGGGUCAUUGGAAACUGGGGAACUUGAGUGCAGAAGAGGAGAGUGGAAUUCCACGUGUAGCGGUGAAAUGCGUAGAGAUGUGGAGGAACACCAGUGGCGAAGGCGACUCUAACGUUGGUCUGGUCUGUAACUCGCUGAGGAGCGAAAGCGUGGGGAGCGAACAGGAUUAGAUACCCUGGUAGUCCACGCCGUAAACGAUGAGUGCUAAGUGUUAGGGGGUUCCCCUUAGUGCUGCAGCUAACGCAUACUCCGCCUGGGGAGUACGGUCGCAAGACUGAAACUCAAAGGAAUUGACGGGGGCCCGCACAAGCGGUGGAGCAUGUGGUUUAAGGACUGUUUCGAAGCAACGCGAAGAACCUUACCAGGUCUUGACAUCCUCUGACAAUCCUAGAGAUAGGACGUCCCCUUCGGGGGCAGAGUGACAGGUGGUGCAUGGUUGUCGUCGGAUCAUGUCGUGUCGGAUGUUGGGUUAAGUCCCGCAACGAGCGCAACCCUUGAUCUUAGUUGCCAGCAUUCAGUUGGGCACUCUAAGGUGACUGCCGGUGACAAACCGGAGGAAGGUGGGGAUGACGUCAAAUCAAUGCCCCUUAUGACCUGGGCUACACACGUGCUACAAUGGACAGAACAAAGGGCAGCCCAUGUCGAAA